UCGGGAAUUUUGGGCAAUGGGCGAAAGCCUGACCCAGCAACGCCGCGUGAAGGAUGAAGUAUUUCGGUAUGUAAACUUCGUAAGAAUGGGAAGAAUCAAUGACGGUACCAUUUGUAAGGUCCGGCUAACUACGUGCCAGCAGCCGCGGUAAUACGUAGGGACCAAGCGUUGUUCGGAUUUACUGGGCGUAAAGGGAGCGUAGGCGGCAAUUCAAGUCAGUUGUGAAAUCUCAAGGCUUAACCUUGAACGGUCAACUGAUACUGCUUUGCUAGAGUACAGAAGGGGCAAUCGGAAUUCUUGGUGUAGCGGUGAAAUGCGUAGAUAUCAAGAGGAACACCUGAGGUGAAGACGGGUUGCUGGGCUGAUACUGACGCUGAGGCUCGAAAGCCAGGGGAGCAA
rnacentral:rRNA from 1 species